GGCGGAAGGGUGAGUAAGGCGACGGUAAUCAACCCCAUGGUUGGGUAUAGCCGCGGGAAACUGCGGGUAAUCCCCAGCGACGUCCGGAUCGGGCAUCCGAAUCGGACCAAAGUCCUGGCGCCGUGGGACGAGCCGUCGUGGUAUUAGGUCGUUGGCGGGGUAAUGGCCCACCAAGCCUAUGAUGCCUACCGGGCGUGCGAGCGUGGCCCGGCACACUGGGACUGAGACACUGCCCAGACUCCUACGGGAGGCUGCAGUCGAGAAUCUUCGGCAAUGGGCGCAAGCCUGACCGAGCGACGCCGCGUGGAGGAUGAAGACCUUCGGGUUGUAAACUCCUGUCGAGGGGGAAGAAGGUCGGGUAACCGGCUUGACCGAUCCCUGGAGGAAGCACGGGCUAAGUUCGUG
rnacentral:rRNA from 1 species